UACAGAGGGUGCGAGCGUUAAUCGGAAUUACUGGGCGUAAAGCGCACGUAGUCGGCUUUGCAAGUCGGGUGUGAAAUCCCCGGGCUCAACCUGGGAACUGCAUCCGAGACUGCAUUGCUAGAGUAUGGGAGAGGGAAGCGGAAUUUCUGGUGUAGCAGUGAAAUGCGUAGAUAUCAGAAGGAACAUCAGUGGCGAAGGCAGCUCGCUGGGACGUUACUGACACUGAGGCGCGAAAGCGUGGGGAGCGAACAGG
rnacentral:rRNA from 1 species